GAUGAACGCUGGCGGCGUGCUUAAUACAUGCAAGUCGAGCGAACAGACGAGGCGUUUGCUCCUCGGACGUUAGCGGCGGACGGGUGAGUAACACGUGUAUAAUCUACUUAUAAGACUGGGAUAAUUUCGGGAAACCGGAUCAAAUACCGGAUAAUAUAUUGAACCGCAUGGUUCGAUAGUGAAAGACGGUGUUGCUGUCACGUAUAGAUGGAUACCCGCCUGUUUGGCUGGUUGGUAAGGUAACGGCUUAUGAAGGCGACGAUGCGUAGCCGACCUGAGAGGGUGGUCGCCCACACGGGAGCUGGGACGCGGUCAAGGGGCCUGCGGGACGCAGCAGUAGGGAAUCUGCCGCAGUGGGCGAGAGCCUGGCGGAGCAGCGGCGAGUGAGUGAUAACAGCCUUCCGUUCGUAAUACUCUGUUAUUAGGGAAGAACAAAUGUGUAAGUAACUGUGGCCGUCUUGACGGUACCUAAUAAGAAAGCAACGGCUAACUACGUG
rnacentral:rRNA from 1 species